AUGGCCAACGAUGGCGCCGUGUCGGCCAUCCCCCGGCUCCCUUGGGCUAUAAGACCGACCCCCGCGACCCCGGGACAAACCCUAGCCCCUUUCCCCCUACUCCCCGCGCCGUUGCUCUCUCCCCCACACACACCCAAUGCCACCAUCGUCGCGUCGAUCCCGCGGCCACCGGCCUCCCUUGGUCGCGCCAAGAUGUCCAGAAGCAUCCUCCUCGUCGUCUCCUUCGUCCUCGAACAGUGA
rnacentral:rRNA from 1 species